GAUGAACGCUGGCGGCGUGCCUAAUACAUGCAAGUCGAGCGAACAGACGAGGAGCUUGCUCCUCUGACGUUAGCGGCGGACGGGUGAGUAACACGUGGAUAACCUACCUAUAAGACUGGGAUAACUUCGGGAAACCGGAGCUGCUACCGGCCAAUAUAUUUAACCGCAUGGUUCAUUAUUGAAAGACGGUUGUGCUUUAACUUUUCGACGGUUCCGCGGCGCAUUGGCUAGUUGGUAAGGUAACGGCUUAUCAAGGCAACGAUGCGUAGCCGACCUGAGCGGGUGAUCGGCCACACUGGACCUGAGACACGGUCCAGACUCCUACGGGAGGCAGCAGUAGGGAAUCUUCCGCGAUGGGCGAAAGCGUGACGGAGCAACGCCGCGUGAGUGAUGAAGGUCUUCGGAUCGUAAAACUCUGUUAUUAGGGAAGAACAAAUGUGUAAGUAACUAUGCACGUCUUGACGGUACCUAAUCAGAAAGCCACGGCUAACUACGUG
rnacentral:rRNA from 1 species